rnacentral:sRNA from 1 species
GCUGAGCAUGGUGGUGCAUGCCUAUAAUCCUAGCAACUGGGGAGGCUGAAGCAGGGGGAUUGCAAGUUGGAGGAUAGCCUGGGCAACUUAAUGAGACCCUGUCUCAA